rnacentral:rRNA from 1 species
AGCUGUGGAUAGGGGUGAAAGGCUAAACAAAUCCGGAAAUAGCUGGUUCUCCCCGAAAACUAUUUAGGUAGUGCGUCUUAUAUCACUGACGGGGGUAAAGCACUGUUAUGGCUAGGGGGGUCAUCGCGACUUACCAAACCAUGGCAAACUCUGAAUACCGUCAAGUGCGAGUAAGGCAGACAGACAGUGGGUGCUAACGUCCAUUGUCAAGAGGGAAACAACCCAGACCGCCAGCUAAGGUCCCCAAGACACAGUUAAGUGGGAAACGAAGUGGGAAGGCAUAGACAGCUAGGAGGUUGGCUUAGAAGCAGCCACCCUUUAAAGAAAGCGUAAUAGCUCACUAGUCGAGUCGUCCUGCGCGGAAGAUGUAACGGGGCUCAAACUGUGCACCGAAGCUGCGGAUAUCGAAAGAUAUUGGUAGGGGAGCGUUCUGUAGGUCUGUGAAGGUGUCUUGUAAAGGAUGCUGGAGAUAUCAGAAGUG